rnacentral:rRNA from 1 species
UCUCUCAGUACCGUCAUUAUCUUCCUUGAGGACAGAGCUUUACGACCCGAAGGCCUUCAUCGCUCACGCGGCGUUGCUGCAUCAGGCUUUCGCCCAUUGUGCAAUAUUCCCCACUGCUGCCUCCCGUAGGA